UACGGAGGGGGCUAGCGUUGUUCGGAAUUACUGGGCGUAAAGGGCGCGUAGGCGGCGCACCAAGUCAGGCGUGAAAGCCCUGGGCUCAACCCGGGAAUUGCGCUUGAGACUGGUGUGCUAGAGUACGGGAGAGGAUAGUGGAAUUCCCAGUGUAGAGGUGAAAUUCGUAGAUAUUGGGAAGAACACCGGUGGCGAAGGCGGCUAUCUGGACCGUAACUGACGCUGAGGCGCGAAAGCGUGGGGAGCAAACAGG
rnacentral:rRNA from 1 species